UUAAAAAGCUCGUAGUUGAACCUUGGGCCUGGCUGGCCGGUCCGCCUCACCGCGUGCACUGGUUCGGCCGGGCCUUUCCCUCUGGGGAACCUCAUGCCCUUCACUGGGUGUGAUGGGGAACCAGGGCUUUUACUGUGAAAAAAUUAGAGUGUUCAAAGCAGGCCUAUGCUCGAAUACAUUAGCAUGGAAUAAUAGAAUAGGACGUGUGGUUCUAUUUUGUUGGUUUCUAGGACCGCCGUAAUGAUUAAUAGGGACAGUCGGGGG
rnacentral:rRNA from 1 species